rnacentral:lncRNA from 1 species
AUGACUAUCUAUCCCCACAUGGAUGUUACUUUCCCUAUUUAUUAUCUUCUUUUUUUUUGACUGCCCUCCUAAGUAGUGGGAUUACAGGUGUGUACCACCACCCCCAGCCCCCCAGCAUAUCAUCUCUUUUGUACAGAUGGAGAAGCAGAAACGUAGAGAAACGAAGGGACAUGCCUCUUACUAGAUAGCAAGAAGACCACUUAAACCCAUUUCCGGAGUACCUUGAGUAACUGAGGAGAAGCACGCGUUGAUAAAAUUGAAAGGUUUAUGGAGUCAAUGGCUGUGCCACGCGCAUUGACAGAGGUCACCUUGGCUCGCUGCAACCAUCAGAAGUUGCUGUUACUCAUGUAAGGCCCCGGCAUUGUCUCACAAGAGACAGCUAUAUCUGUUGGACCACCACUCACUAUGUGCAGAAAUCAUUUUCGCAGACAGUGUCACCAGGAUGAAGCGAGCCACCGGUCAACAUCCACAGAGCUUGACGAACGAUGGACACGUGUCGUCACAUUUAAGAUGCACCAGCCACUCAAGGAUGAAUCCGUCAUCUUGGGAUGCUUUGUUUAAUUUCCUACGCAAAGACUCUUUGUCCAACGUGGCCACACGCACAGGAUGAGGACAAGAAAAUAAAGAACUUCUUAAAAUGACUUCAUUUUCUCACACUGAGAAUAGUCUUUUUUUUUUUUUAUGCAUUCCAUUUGAGACCAUUUUGUGGCAGUGCCAUAAGACCUCAUCUGCUG